CGAAAGGCGUAGUCGAUGGGAAACGGGUUAAUAUUCCCGUACUUGGUGUUACUGCGAAGGGGGGACGGAGAAGGCUAUGUUGGCCGGGCGACGGUUGUCCCGGUUUAAGCGUGUAGGUGUGUGUUCCAGGUAAAUCCGGUUCACUUUAACACUGAGGCGUGACGACGAGGCACUACGGUGCUGAAGCAACAAAUGCCCUGCUUCCAGGAAAAGCCUCUAAGCAUCAGGUAACAUCAAAUCGUACCCCAAACCGACACAGGUGGUCAGGUAGAGAAUACCAAGGCGCUUGAGAGAACUCGGGUGAAGGAACUAGGCAAAAUGGUGCCGUAACUUCGGGAGAAGGCACGCUGACACGUAGGUGAAGUGAUUUACUCAUGGAGCUGAAGUCAGUCGAAGAUACCAGCUGGCUGCAACUGUUUAUUAAAAACACAGCACUGUGCAAACACGAAAGUGGACGUAUACGGUGUGACGCCUGCCCGGUGCCGGAAGGUUAAUUGAUGGGGUCAGCGCAAGCGAAGCUCCUGAUCGAAGCCCCGGUAAACGGCGGCCGUAACUAUAACGGUCCUAAGGUAGCGAAAUUCCUUGUCGGGUAAGUUCCGACCUGCACGAAUGGCGUAAUGAUGGCCAGGCUGUCUCCACCCGAGACUCAGUGAAAUUGAACUCGCUGUGAAGAUGCAGUGUACCCGCGGCAAGACGGAAAGACCCCGUGAACCUUUACUAUAGCUUGACACUGAACAUUGAGCCUUGAUGUGUAGGAUAGGUGGGAGGCUUUGAAGUGUGGACGCCAGUCUGCAUGGAGCCGACCUUGAAAUACCACCCUUUAAUGUUUGAUGUUCUAACGUGGACCCGUUACCCGGGUUGCGGACAGUGUCUGGUGGGUAGUUUGACUGGGGCGGUCUCCUCCUAAAGAGUAACGGAGGAGCACGAAGGUUGGCUAAUCCUGGUCGGACAUCAGGAGGUUAGUGCAAUGGCAUAAGCCAGCUUGACUGCGAGCGUGACGGCGCGAGCAGGUGCGAAAGCAGGUCAUAGUGAUCCGGUGGUUCUGAAUGGAAGGGCCAUCGCUCAACGGAUAAAAGGUACUCCGGGGAUAACAGGCUGAUACCGCCCAAGAGUUCAUAUCGACGGCGGUGUUUGGCACCUCGAUGUCGGCUCAUCACAUCCUGGGGCUGAAGUAGGUCCCAAGGGUAUGGCUGUUCGCCAUUUAAAGUGGUACGCGAGCUGGGUUUAGAACGUCGUGAGACAGUUCGGUCCCUAUCUGCCGUGGGCGCUGGAGAACUGAGGGGGGCUGCUCCUAGUACGAGAGGACCGGAGUGGACGCAUCACUGGUGUUCGGGUUGUCAUGCCAAUGGCACUGCCCGGUAGCUAAAUGCGGAAGAGAUAAGUGCUGAAAGCAUCUAAGCACGAAACUUGCCCCGA
rnacentral:rRNA from 3 species